AAAGAUUGAUGGUCGUGGAUGGUCGUAGUUUAAGUAGACUGUGGUAUCGUCUACACAGUUUUCAAAGAAACGAAUACCAAUAUCGACUGACUUGACUUGGCAUUAUUGACACAGUCUGCGUAUUAUCGAAGUGAGAGUGGUGAGGAAAAGAUAGUUCAAAAUUAACAUGUAUUCAAUUGUUGAAUUUAAUGAUGGAAUAAUUGCUAUUCCAACUAUUUGGUUAAGCGCAGACAAAAAAAGAGCUAAAUGGCCUCCAUAUGAUGACAGGAAAAUUUUUAAAGCUGUCUCGAAAAGAGAAGAACCUAAUGAAAAUUGGGAAUGUUUAAGUGUUAUAAAAAUUUUUGGAACUGCAUGUAAAAUAAUAAUGAAGUUUUUAUCCGAUUAUGACAAUGCUAUGAAAAAAGUUUCUUUAGCAGAACAGAUAACUGAUAUUAGUGAUUGCAGAAAAUGCAAAAAAAAACUAGAAAAUCUCGUGCACGUCGUAUUCCAUCAUCAAGUGAGGAAUCUGAGAAUGAAAAACAUCCUCCAAAAAAAAAGGUUUAAAAAUAUUAGAAGUGCCGCAAAAAAAAAAUUGAACUCAACAUUCAAUAUCCAAAGUUUCCUUCAGCCUCUAGCAUCAUCAGAUCACCACUUACUAACAUUGAAAAUGAUAACCCAGUGUUGAGAAAAUAUGAUAGAAACAUAUCAGUUGUACAAGAGGCAAAUACUUCCGUGAAAACAUCCAAUAUUACAGAUACUUCUAUAGACACAAAUCACACAUUUUUAACGAGUAGUAGAAAAAAUGAUUUCUUAAUUGAUAACCCAGUGUUAAAAAAACAUGAUAGUAACACAUCAGUUGUACAAGAGGCAAAUACUUCCGUGAAAACAUCCAACAUUACAGAUACUUCUAUAGACACAAAUCACACAUUUUUUACAACUGAUGAAAAAAUGAAUUACUUAAUUGAAUUACAAAAAUUAUCUAUUAUAAAGGAAAAUAUUAUAAUAACAAAAAUUAAUAAUCUGCUAAAUUGUCUGGAUAAAUCAGGACCUGUAGAAAUCAAAGUUAAUGACAAAAAUGAAGAUAAUAUUGCUUCCAAUUAAAGACUUGGAACAACUGGAAAACUUUGAAAAAGAAUUACAAAAUAAGGAAAUUUAUAAUCAAAUGGUAACUAAAUUAUACUAUCGAGGAGGAAAAAAUGUUGACGAAAUUGUGAACAAAAUAAUGAGUCUAAUUUUUACUAAUUCUUUAGCGUGUAGCUAUAGCUAUUUUGGAAAGAAAAAAAAGAAAGCAUUUUCUGAUUUAGUUUUAUGUAAAUGCAUUUUGGAUGCUAUUUAUCAUCAUAAAUUUGAUGUAAAAGAGGACUAUAUAAUAAAAAAAAUUGGAAUUUGGCUUGCCAAUGCACCUACUCGUCAGGCUCGAGAAAACAUGAAGAAACAAAAUUUAGCAGUGAAAAAUAAAACAUCGCAGAAAGAAGACACCGACAUACUCGUCCUUUCGGGGAAUGAAACUGAAAGUUAA